AUUGAACGCUGGCGGCAUGCCUUACACAUGCAAGUCGAACGGCAGCACGGGAGCAAUCCUGGUGGCGAGCGGCGAACGGGUGAGUAAUAUAUCGGAACGUGCCCAGUCGUGGGGGAUAACGCAGCGAAAGCUGUGCUAAUACCGCAUACGAUCUAAGGAUGAAAGCGGGGGAUCGCAAGACCUCGCGCGAUUGGAGCGGCCGAUAUCAGAUUAGCUAGUUGGUGGGGUAAAGGCCCACCAAGGCGACGAUCUGUAGCUGGUCUGAGAGGACGACCAGCCACACUGGAACUGAGACACGGCCCAGACUCCUACGGGAGGCAGCAGUGGGGAAUUUUGGACAAUGGGCGCAAGCCUGAUCCAGCAAUGCCGCGUGCAGGAUGAAGGCCUUCGGGUUGUAAACUGCUUUUGUACGGAACGAAACGGCCCUUUCUAAUACAGGGGGCUAAUGACGGUACCGUAAGAAUAAGCACCGGCUAACUACGUGCCAGCCGCCGCCGUAAAAC
rnacentral:rRNA from 1 species